rnacentral:rRNA from 1 species
CUAACAAGGAUUCCCCCAGUAACGGCGAGUGAAGCGGGAACAGCUCAAAUUUGAAAUCUCCGACGCUUGCGUCGGCGAGUUGUAGUUGCGAGAAGCACUUUCUCGGCGGAUCGGGCGUGCCUAAGUUGCUUGGAACAGUACGUCGCAGAGGGUGACAACCCCGUUUGUGGCACGGCCGACCGCUCACGAUGUGCUUUCGAAGAGUCGGGUUGUUCGGGAAUGCAGCCCAAAACGGGUGGUAAACUCCAUCUAAAGCUAAAUAUUGACGUGAGACCGAUAGCGAAGGAAACGAAUGGACUCAGCAAUGCGCCGUUUGAGAUUCAGCCGGCCGGUGGGAUCGGCUCGGGGUUUGCGGAUCUGAAUAGACCGCUAUCCCGGGCUCGUUUCUCUCGACCGUCGCACUUCUCUUGGGCGCACGUCAACGUCGGUUGGGACUGGGUCUGAAAGGUUCCGGGAAGGUAGGUCCGCGCGUUCCUCGCGUUCGCGCGCUCUGUUACAGCCCGGUUCUCUUGCGGCUCGGGCCCGACCGAGGCGGUUGCAGCGCAUGCCUCUUUUGGCUAGGGUCCCGUCCGUCCGGCCGGUUGUCGACCGCGGUGGACUGCUUGCAGUGCUCCGCGACUGCUGCCGGGUCGUUUGGGCGGUGAUCU